AACGAACGCUGGCGGCAGGCUUAACACAUGCAAGUCGAGCGCCCCGCAAGGGGAGCGGCAGACGGGUGAGUAACGCGUGGGAAUCUACCCAUCUCUACGGAAUAACGCAUGGAAACGUGUGCUAAUACCGUAUACGUCCUUCGGGAGAAAGAUUUAUCGGAGAUGGAUGAGCCCGCGUUGGAUUAGCUAGUUGGUGGGGUAAAGGCCUACCAAGGCGACGAUCCAUAGCUGGUCUGAGAGGAUGAUCAGCCACACUGGGACUGAGACACGGCCCAGACGCCUACGGGAGGCAGCAGUGGGGAAUAUUGGACAAUGGGCACAAGCCUGAUCCAGCCAUGCCGCGUGAGUGAUGAAGGCCCUAGGGUUGUAAAGCUCUUUCACCGGUGAAGAUAAUGACGGUAACCGGAGAAGAAGCCCCGGCUAACUUCGUGCCAGCCGCCGCAGUAACAC
rnacentral:rRNA from 1 species